UACAGAGGGUGCGAGCGUUAAUCGGAAUUACUGGGCGUAAAGCGCACGUAGUCGGCUUUGCAAGUCGGUUGUGAAAUCCCCGGGCUCAACCUGGGAACUGCAUCCGAGACUGCAUUGCUAGAGUAUGGGAGAGGAAAGCGGAAUUUCUGGUGUAGCAGUGAAAUGCGUAGAUAUCAGAAGGAACAUCAGUUGGCGAAAGGCGGCUUUCUGGACCAAUACUGACGAUCAGGUGCGAAAGCGUGGGGAGCAAACAGG
rnacentral:rRNA from 1 species